CAGCCGCCACGGUAAUACGAAGGGUGCAAGCGUUACUCGGAAUUACUGGGCGUAAAGCGUGCGUAGGUGGUGGUUUAAGUCCGUUGUGAAAGCCCUGGGCUCAACCUGGGAAUUGCAGUGGAUACUGGGUCACUAGAGUGUGGUAGAGGAUAGUGGAAUUUCCGGUGUAGCAGUGAAAUGCGUAGAGAUCGGAAGGAACAUCUGUGGCGAAGGCGACUAUCUGGGCCAACACUGACACUGAGGCACGAAAGCGUGGGGAGCAAACAGGAUUAGAUACCCCCGUAGUCCCUGUCUCUUAUAA
rnacentral:rRNA from 1 species